rnacentral:rRNA from 1 species
CACGUAGGGUGCGAGCGUUGUCCGGAAUUAUUGGGCGUAAAGCGCGUGUAGGCGGCCCCAGUAAGUCCGCUCUGAAAGCCCGGGGCUUAACCCCGGGCAGGGCGGGUGGAUACUGCUGGGCUCGGAGUCCGGAAGAGGCGAGUGGAAUUCCCGGUCGUAGCGGUGAAAUGCGCAGAUAUCGGGAGGAACACCAAUGGCGAAGGCAGCUCGCUGGGACGUGACUGACGCUGGAGACGCGAAAGCGUGGGGAGCAAACAGGGAUUAGCAAA